rnacentral:lncRNA from 1 species
AGAAAGUAAUAAACAGGGCCGGGGAUUUAGCUCAGUGGUUUCGCUGCCUGCUGCGCAAGCGCAAGGACCCGAGUUCGAUCCCCGGUUCCAAAAAAAAAAGAAAGAAAGAAAGACACAGCAAAGAAAUCUUCUGAUGAAUGAGGUCAUUUCACCCUUUGCUGCCAGGCAGUCCUCCGAGGGCAGUGUGGCUCAGAGCCAGAGAACAUGGACUGAUGGAUACCGUAAAGCCAGUGGAUGUCUCAGGUGCCUCAGUUUGAUUGCUGAGGGUGGAAUCCGAUCAAAGGACCAGGCUCGUAAUUAUUGCCCUGAGCCUAGCACAUGGCACUCCAAGGAGCUUGCUGCGGUAUGGUAUAAAGCUCAGACUCGGCCCCUGCUUGGUGUCACAGGCUCACUGAAUUGUCCUGUCUGCCAGAAACCUGAAAGGGCCUUGUUGUUUCCCUGUGAGACUGCAGUGGGCAGAAGCAGAGAGACGCUGGUCUGGUGUCCUGAAAAGCUCUCAGUGAUUUGGCUUGGUACAGAAACGUCCUGGCCGGAUUUGUGGAAGUUGAUCUGCCUGCUCUGUCUUUAUUUGUUUCGUCUUGAUUUUUCCCCUCCAAUGGGAAAAUGAGGACUUAAAUCUUUGUGUGUGUGCAGUAUUUUUCCUUGAUAAACAAGCUCAAUACAUUCGGAACCAUUUUACCUUCUAAUGGAACUCUUUCUGAAAGUGAAGACUUGGAAAAUGAUGCAGUGGACUACCUUUGCAGAUAUCUAUUGAGCCAGAUAAUGCUGGAAAAGGAUCAGAGAGGGCAGGAUCAGCGACACAAGGAUAUCUCCAGUGGUCUUUUUUGUCCGUGUUUGUGUUCACGUCCCAGGUGCCACUUUACCACCAGCCUCACCCACACUGAGCCCUGGCAUUGCUACCAAAUUCGUCUCCAGAGCAGCUCAGGUGUUCUCUGACCUUUUGCUCGAAACCUCAAUGCUCACUGUAAAUUUCUGCAGAUCUAGGAGUGCAAUAAACGAUGAGAGAAUUUAACCGGUUUUUGCUAAAAGAGAACUUAUCGGGCCCAUGGAUUUUGAAAUUCAGCAUAAAGUGAAAUUUCCCAUCACAGUAAAUGCAUACAAUUAUAAAUAAUUAAGCCAAACUCUGAGUAGUAAUUUAUGUGUUUCUUUAAAAAUGUCCCUAAUAUAUUGACAUUGACCAUGGAGUGCAAGAAUUCUUAACAAUCAAUGGGAAUUCUGCUGAGCAUGAACACCAGACCUCGACAGUUAAUGUCCCAUCAGUAUCUGAUCACCAUAAAAGUUUUAGCAGGAGUUUGGCUCUGAGGUCAGGAAGUACUGUGGGCCCAGAAAUGAGAGUAAUAAAUUCACGAUGGAAAGAACUUCACUCUUCCUACUCAUCACUAAGACAAACUCGCUAGUUAAAAAGCUGCAC